rnacentral:misc_RNA from 1 species
GCUUCGUUUGUUUUGGGUAUCAGCUCUUCCGCCAGCAAGAAAGGGCACACAUAACCUUGUCAUAUUGUACUAGACGCUUUCACACAGGGUUUUCUCGCAUUCGAACGGGAUGUACGUUUCUAAGUUUUGUUUUGUGGUCCGAGUUUGGUCCGAACAUUGACCUGGGAGUCACGAUAGACCUUGAAAAUGGAGGACCGUCGUCACCUUGGCUUCCGAACACGACUAGAGAUAUUUGUCAGCGGUAUAUGAUUCAGCAAUCCUGGAAUCCAUGUCGUUCACUGAAAGAUUUCCGACACGCCCACUACUGGCACAACCCGGAAAGUCAUUGGUUGUACUCGGCCUGAAUUAGGAACGAACGGACGGGCGGACUCGACUGGCUCAAAUUCUUCUCAUCUAAGCGGUAAACAUCAUGGAGAUAGUCUUUUCCACCUGCAAUUUACCUGCAGAUCGGUGAAUGGUCAUGAAUCUCCCAGGUAACAUAUUCCGCUCCCAAAGGCAGCGUACUGAUAUCAAAGUGGACCGAAUAGGAGGAAAACUUAUCCCAUUUUUUUUCUUUCAAUAUAUACGUGUUGUAAUAUUUCCACACUAUUAAAUUGAUUAUCCAUAAA